AUUGAACGCUGGCGGCAGGCUUAAUACAUGCAAGUCGAACGGGGAAAGCUUUCGGGUGAGUACUAGUGGCGCACGGGUGAGGAACGCGUGGAUAAUCUGCCUUAGAGUGGGGGAUAACUAGUCGAAAGAUUAGCUAAUACCGCAUAAGACCACAGGAGCUGCGGCUCAAGGGGUCAAAGGUUUUUCGCUCUAAGAUGAGUCCGCGUAAGAUUAGCUAGUUGGUGAGGUAACGGCUCACCAAGGCGACGAUCUUUAACUGGUCUGAGAGGAUGAGCAGUCACACUGGAACUGAGACACGGUCCAGACUCCUACGGGAGGCAGCAGUAGGGAAUAUUGCACAAUGGAGGAAACUCUGAUGCAGCGACGCCGCGUGAGUGAUGAAGGCCUUCGGGUCGUAAAGCUCUGUCGCAGGGGAAUAACACAAUGAAUGUACCCUGUAAGAAAGGAUCGGCUAACUUCGUGCCAGCAGCCGCCGUAACAC
rnacentral:rRNA from 1 species